rnacentral:rRNA from 1 species
AGUGAACGCUGGCGGUAGGCCUAACACAUGCAAGUCGAACGGCAGCACAGUAAGAGCUUGCUCUUACGGGUGGCGAGUGGCGGACGGGUGAGGAAUACAUCGGAAUCUACUUUUUCGUGGGGGAUAACGGAGGGAAACUUACGCUAAUACCGCAUACGACCUACGGGUUAAAGCAGGGGAUCUUCGGACCUUGCGCGAUUGAAUGAGCCGAUGUCGGAUUAGCUAGUUGGCGGGGUAAAGGCCCACCAAGGCGACGAUCCGUAGCUGGUCUGAGAGGAUGAUCAGCCACACUGGAACUGAGACACGGUCCAGACUCCUACGGGAGGCAGCAGUGGGGAAUAUUGGACAAUGGGCGAAAGCCUGAUCCAGCCAUACCGCGUGGGUGAAGAAGGCCUUCGGGUUGUAAAGCCCUUUUGUUGGGAAAGAAAAGCAGCAGGUUAAUACCCCGCUGUUCUGACGGUACCCAAAGAAUAAGCACCGGCUAACUUCGUG